AUGGGGAGUGUGUACACGGCUCAGCCCAACAGGGAAUAUAAAAACUGAACAACGAACGAAAGAACUUUGAAGAGAGCAACGUACUUGAGCUGGUUUUAACCCAUGCUUUCCUUCCUGGUGACCGGGGACACCUGGUGCUGUGAAGAUGGGAAUCAUGAGCACUGUGCUUGCUCAUCCGAGAACUGGCUGACGCUGGACUACAAAAGAUUUAUUCCAACACAAAGAUGAAUCAAUUUCUUCCUUAAACAAAGUCAACAAGGUUGAUUUGGGAAGUGGUUUUGUGUUGCUAUAUUGAAAACCAGGCUGAACUACCCGAUUUAUUUUAAACCAGCCCUCAAAUAAGCAUCCUAAAGUUACUGGCCACUGCACCUGGAUAUAGAAGAGUUGUUGCCAACCUUUAACUUCCCACUCUUGCGUAUUUGAACACUGGCCUCUGUAUCUGACGCUCUGUUUGGACUACUGCACUGGGUCACACCAUGAACCUACAUGCAGGCUGGCAUCAAGGCUUCAAAAUCUCUUCAGAACAAAAGAGAAAUAAAUCUAUUAAAUGGGAGAAGUAUGUAAAGGAGUGGUCAAGAAAACAACUUUAAUUUUAAACGUGUUUCAUUUCGUAUAUCCUUCUGCUUUCUGACCUUACUGAUUUCAAGAAGUUAAGCCUGCUCCCCACACAUCUGGACUCUUAAUGAACUUCAAAUUCUUUUGGAGGGAAAAAUAUUCUGAAGGCACAGAACACCAGAAGAUGCUGAAGGGCAAAAGUCCUGUGUGUACAUGUGCUGAAGAGGAAUUCACUCAUGCAUCUUGUUUUUAUAGGUCAUGCAACUGAAUGGAUAACACCAUCAUAGGAGGGACCGAGGCAUUUAGCUUAACAAGUCUAUCGUAGAUUAGCACUGAUGCCCUCCACACCAUUCAAGAUCCAUGCAAGCUGCCAUAACAACAUUGGGAUGCAUUAAAGCAGGAGAAGGAGGACAGGGACCAGAGGUAUUAAAUAAGUUUUGUAAGUGAGGAUGAAGUAACUGAGGAUGUCCACCAAACACGGUGAACCUGUGCUGAAUUACAGCAGUUAGGGACCAACCUGCCUUUGCUAAAAUUGGACAAAUUAAUGGACUAAAUUUUGUACAGCUAUUUCUUUGAAUUCAACAACAAAUUCACAUCCAUGAUUCCUGUGUCUUGUUUCUAAGCCUGCUGAAGCUUCCAGACAUCUGAGACAAGAACAUGAAUACUGGCGAGCAUCCCUGGAUCCAGGGCCUAUUGCUGUGUCCACAUUCCCAGCAUCCUUUUAUACUGACCAAACUGAGAUUGCCCAGGACAGCCAGCAAAGCUUUUUUACUGCUGAUCUAUAGAGCAACAGUCUAGAUCUUUUUCUGACUGCCAAUAAUGUCAGCAUAACUUUUCCUUUGAUAUUUCUUAAGCCCCUUGAGACGUUAUAAAGCUUCAGUAUACCUUCUGUUUUUAUGCUGUCCUCAUUCCCCAGUAUGAACAUUUUGCUUCUUCUCCUUCUACUGCAUUUUUUCCGUAAGUCCUUCCCUUAUUCCAUUACUACUCCCCACUAAUAUCUUUGUAAAUCCAUCAGCAUCCAGAAGCUGACUGCAAAUAAAUAAUCUAUGGGAGACGAGAAUUGAUUUUUGCACCUUCCCACCACAGAGGUGUCUUUAGCCUAGUUUCCCAGUGUCUUUACCUAUGCCACAGGAUGAACUGACCCACUCAGAAAGUUGGUCCCCCUCUUCCUGUCCCAAUACAUCUGUCUCCGAAGGUGCUCAAAAUGAAUAAGCAACGGCUUCUGCUGGUUGCAAGGCUGUGAACUACUCCAUGACUUCAAGGUAAAACAGAGCAGACUAAUUUCCGAGAACUUCCUUAGCGCUCAGAGUGAGCAUCUGAGGGACUUGAAGCAAAUUAACUAAGAUGCACAGUUGUUCUGUAUCUUUUUGAAUUUUUUGUCAAUGACUAGACCCUAGAAAGGUCCAGCUGACAUAGGAGAACUUAUGUGAAACUUUAUGGAGGCUAAGUGAGAAACAUUGAGAUUACAGUAAAGCCUGAAUUCAGUUUGGGUUAAACUAUUAACUUCCAGAGCAGAACCACAUUCUGUAAUAUGGUAUACUAGACAUGGGCAUAUGGCCCUCAGGUUACACUCAGCUAUACAGUAGCAAAUGUGGCGGAGGAUGAGUACAGAUAAUCAGUUCUGCUGCAUGGUGCUUCUGUUCUUUCUUAUCGACCUGCCAGCUCAUUUAGUAGGGAGCAGGGAUUCCUCCUAGUUUCCCCUCAUAUGGGGGACAGAGGACCCAAGAUAUUUUCCCUACAUUACUUAGUGGGAAAAAAUAUAUGGAAUCAUCUUAAAUGCAUAUAAAAAGAGGAAUUUCAAAGUGUCACACACCGUCACUUCAGUUCUACAAUUAAUAGUGCAUACACAGAACGGCCUUCCACACCAUUUUCCUGUGUUCAUACAUCUCAGAUCAGAAAAAGAAUGUCGCCUGAUACAAAGUAUCUAUGUACUGCUAUAUCAUUUCCCUUAAUUUAUGUUGCAUUAUUGAUGUACCGAAUGCUGUACUUGAAUAAUGUAACAGUAAGGCUCUUACAAAAAGCACUAGCACCAGCUGUAAUGUGUGUCUAUAAAGAUAAGAAAAAUAUAUUUCCUAAGUCCAGCAGGUUUCAAACAAUAUAUUUUCAGGUUACAGGAAUGCUGGCCAAGAGAAAUUUAAAAUCAAGGUGAGAAGUGGGGGACAACAUUUCUUCUAAAAUGUUAACGAGCUACUACCUUAUAAAGUUAAAAUAAUCAACAAAUCUGACAAACAAGCAAACAUUAUGAAUAUUCAGGAUGUUUAAACUGCUGAUUCAACAUUUUCUAACAGUGUACAACUUUUGCACCGAUCACAUAAGCUAUUAUUUUUCUUUUCAUCAUAAGUGCACUCGACUGUGGUGUCGGUGUGCUGUUGCAACAUAUGCACUGAAGUAUUGUAAUUCAUACAGAUGGCAGGAAGCUUUCAAAUUGUUACUUCUACAGUACAGAUGUUUAACAAUUUAGCCAUAUGGCUUCAGUAAAGAAGCCUUUUCAAAGAUUACAAAAAACUACACUAGACAUGCAACCUUGUAAAUCUGAAUGCAAUCCUGAGGCAUGAAUUUUUGUAUUACUAAAAUAUAAAAACAUGCUUUGUACUAUGAAGUUUGCAUGUCCAUUAAGAAUUACACAAUUUAUGGAACAUUAUUUAAAAUCUUGAUAGAAAUCAGCUCCAAAAUUUGCAUAAUUUCACUAAGUCAACUACUAAAACAACACUCCGCAUCUGUUUUUUAAAUUAGGUGUCAGACACGAGCUUGUUGACAGGAAGGGUAAAUAACCACAGGCAAAUAUAAUAAUGCCCCUAAAGUCUGGCCUGAGUGAACUACCAGUGUAGGUGACAGACUGAGAUCCAACCAGUGAGAACAAGAAUUUCUCCACAAAAAGAGCUGUCAAAGAAACCAAGGAGCCCUCAUGAUGGUUGUGGCAAUUUUUAUGUGGAAAGCUGAAUGUUGAGAAACAAUCUGAGAUCAAUACUAUCUUGACCACGAAAAGAAAGAACCAUGAAAUGGUCAAUUUAUAACACAACUGAAUUUUACCAGGUUUGAAUGACAGAUAAAGGGCACCAAAUAAGAUUGUUAAAUUACUAAUCCUGUCACUAUUACAUCCUGUCACAUUGCAUAGAUUUAUACAUUAGAAAGAGAAUGUAUGGCAUGAGAGUAAAAAAUAGUACUGUUAAAAACUAAAAUACUCUUGAUCUAUGAAGAAAAGGUGAAUUCUCAACUUUGUGUUACUUUUUUCAGGGUUGUUUUUUUCUGCCAAAGAGUCGGAUAUAACUAGAUGCUGUUUGCUGUCCCAUCUUCCUUUUUCCUGAUGCUUGGGUCUGUGACCCUUUGUUACCUAGAACAAACUUCGCUUUUAUAUAAAGAACAAAAUUCUCUUUUAUAUAACUCUGUAGCUCAAGAAUAAGAGUAAAAGGGACAGAUUGAACAAAGCACUGGUCUUUCAGACAAAAAGAUAUCCAUUCAGUAUAUAGGGGCUCUUUCCACCUGACGUAUUUUUAAAGGGAAAUAUUCAAUCAGCAUCUACUCAAAGGGCAAAUCCACAAAAGAGUCAUGUAAUAUUCUUUUUUUUUUUUUAAAGCCGCAAAGAAGUAUUCAGAGAUGCUUUACCUACCACAGAUACUAAUCUAGGCAGGAUAAUUUUAAAAUAUCCUUAUGGAAACCUUGAAAGGUGGUCGAACCCUGUGGUUGUUUAAAAAAAAAAAAUUCUGCAGUUUAUGCAUUUGCUUUGCCAAAAGCUUACCUUGGCAAAUAAAGCAUAGUAUAUCAUAGCUGCUCUGAUUUACAACCAAGAGUACACUGUUUGUUUUCAGGAAGAGAGCUCUGUGAAAAGCUAUGUCAAGUAUAAACACAUUCAGAGAAGGGGAGAAUCAUUUCACAGAACUAUCAGAACGGUAGCAACCAUUUCUAAGACAUCAGCGGAAGAAAAAUGCAGAUGUACAUCUGCAGAAUUUUUCAUGUUCAUUUAUUUUGCUUUAUUUUGAAUAUUAUAUACCACUGCAAAAUAUUCCAAGUCCUUUAUAGGCACAAAGAAGACACUUUCAUACCUCAAAACUGUUUAGCCUAAGUACCAAUGGACUGGGCAGAUUUAUAAUUUACCAGUUAAAAAUUAAAAAUUAUUUGAUCUUGUUUCUAACUUCCACAUGUCAGGGGGCAGUAGCAUAAGGAGAUACCAAAAGUGUGGAGAAGACACCAGAGGAGGAAUGGCAAAGCAAAAGGCCCUGGGUUAACCUGAUCAUUUGGAACUAAAUAGGGUAGAUUUUAUUAGUGCUAAUCCAUUUAGAAAGUCCCAACAGGGGUACAAAGAAAAAAACAUAUCUGACAUGCCUUUAAAAAGAUAGUAAGCAAAAAGAGAAAAAGAUCAAAACAGUAGCUGAAAGCCUUCACUCCUGCUUUAAAAUCCAAGAAAGAGUCAUUAAUAGAGAUUUAAACUCAGCCUUCACUAGUCUAAACAUGUCACUGUUAAUUACAAAGCUAUUUAACUUUUGCAAGAAAUAAAGGCUGCUAUUAAUGAAAGAAGAACCAAUUAGCCUUUAAUCUACACUGUUUUUUAAUCAAACUUUCUUUUGAUCAUCAGACUCACUGCGGGUUGUAUUCUCUCCUCCCCAUGUUGUAGUGGCUCCCAUGAUUGCUAAUGGAAUUGAUGUUAAGGGGCUGGCUGAGCGAGGAGAACCUGCUCUGCAGGGCUGGAGCUUCCUUCCUCCGGUGCCAGUGGGGCUCAGAGGAAGGACUCUCAUCUCCAACCCAUGCCGCUCUGCGGCAGCACAGGCAACUGGAACGAUUCUGACGGUGUCUCCUGCCCUUUCUCUCAUAGCAUUUGCCAUUAGAGGAACAGGCACUGAACAUGUUCAGAGGAAUGUGGGACAGAACUACCAGACUAUCUUAUUAGAAAUCAGCAGAAAACAUCAUUUUAAAGAAAAAAAAGAUUUGGGAAAGGGAAGCUGGGGAAAGAGAUAAAAGCAGGGAAGGGCCACAAGGAAUGGAAAUGGAAUUCAAUGGUGACUGCAAAGAAUGAUUAAUGGGAGAAGUUGCUUGUUAGAGAAGGAACAUAUCUUGAAAAAAACACAGAGAUAAUGGGACCACGGCUUGAUAUGUUGCACACAAAAAAGAUGAGAUAGGAAAAGCAGGGAUCGCAUUAGCUAAAUACUGCUGUGCCUCCAAACUGUUCAUUGCAGGGCCAGAGGUUUGUUUCUUUAUUUGUUUGCUUGUUUUGCUGUUUUUUUUUAAAGAAUGAGGCUACUUGUAGUACCAAAACAAUAAGACCAAGUACACUACUAUCAAUCAUGAUGGAGAACUACUUACUUUACACCAUUUCCCUCUUAGCCGCAUUUGCUGCUCAGACCUCCCAGGAACAGGGAUACAUAGAAAAUGUUCCUGAGGUAUUCACUUUGCAUUUAUGACCAUGCAGAUAAUGAAAUACAAGAACAUGACUCCUGCACAUGUAACCCACAGAGAGAAUAUAGGUAUCAUCUGCACUGUGUUAAACAUGAAGCUCCUUUUCUGAUCAGACACAUGCUGACUGUUCUGCAUUAGCAAACCUUUGGUGUGUGGCGUAUACUACCUGUAUAUAUAAUCUGUAAUAUAAAGACAAAACGUGUCAGGCAAUGCUAAGGAGUAAUACUAAUGAAAAAGCCCUUUAAAAUAAUUGUUAAUAUCCUGUGUACAGCAAGAACUUCUGCCUUCUCAAAGAAUCAGAAUCUGCAAAAUUCUCCUGUUGUUGCUACCAGUAUGGCAAUUAAAAAAAAAAAAAUCAAUAUAUUGCAGAGAGCAAAGUGAAAAUAAGUAUGUUCUAUGCCAGACAGGAUUUUGAGCCACAAAGUUCAAGUCGGUAAUAAUAUUAUGUGCAACAGCCACUGAAGUGAUGUUGACACAUCAGAAAUUUAAAGUUAAGUGCAUACUUCAGCACAUGGAUGAUUUCAGUGAAGACAAGGGGUUCUGUUAAAUGUUUUUCUGGACUUGAGUCACACAGUGCACUUUGAAAGAUCAAAUUAUUCCUCUCUCUGUGAAUUAAGGCUAAUUCUAAUCCCUUAUCUCAAAGGGGUGGCCAACUUUGCACACUCUAAAGCCUCUUUACAAUAACUCUGUAGCACGAAGGGUAUUUAAAAUGAGAUUAGGAUUCAUUCAUGUUUUCAAGGUGCUCAAAUAUUACAAAACAAGUACAAUAUAGGUACUCAAAUACAAGCACCAGAGGUAGACAGAUAUAGCCUUAAAGCACUGUGUCAACAUAAAGUUAGCUGCAUAACUGUAUCAUUUUCACAUUUAAAUUAUUCUAUGGCAUUCUAAAUCUGUCGAUAAAAUCUGGAUCCUGAUACUGAUGAAAAACUUGUUUUUCUUGUGUCGUAAUCCCAUUUAAUAAAAUGCAAACAAGAGAUCCCCAGCUUCCAUUCCUUUUGAGCACAGUGUAGUAAAUGCCUCCUGACUCAGAAAACUUAGAAAACUGCAAUACUGAAAAAAUUUGAUGUUAGAGUACAGGACUUUUUUAAUUAACAAAGCUCUUAGGUUUUGCUGAAUGUUCCAUUUUGCUUUUUGUAGCCCUAACAUACUCCAGAGCUUUUUAUUUGCUUACGCAGUGCAGUUAGGACACAGCUCUUCUGACAUUUGUGAAGCUUUAAAAAGAGCAAAAUUAUUGAUAGGAACCAUAUGAAACAUAAUGAUAUUUAAACUGUUCUUACCUGGAGUAGAAUAAAAUGAGGUUAAAAAGUAAUGACACUUUCAAAGUUAAGAGGCAGAAACUUUAUGCGUCUUUACCUAAACUACGGAAUAGUUCAGUCCUGAGAGUGUUCUCGGUUCCCCCCAAUUCCUUAACAUUCACGCAUACUUAGAUAAAUUACGCCUCAAGGUCAGGUCUGAUUCAAGAAACACUCUCCCCAGUUGUUUCAGUGAAAUUUUACUUAUGUGCUUGAAAGGCAUAUAGAUGAAAUGCUCUGUAUCUGCAAUUCUGACUGAAAUUAGUGGGACCUGAAGGUUCUGAGCAGCUCUGAAAAUCAGCCCUUAAUAUUACUAUUGUAAUGCAUCUUUAAUUUGUUUACAUCUCCUCCAAAUAACUACUUUUAAUUGUCACAUCUGAAUCAAAGCUUUGUACAUACGUAUACA